CACUACAGACACCCAGCCACCUGGGGCCACCUGGCGCCUUGGCUUCUCCUCUCCUGAGCUCACCUCACCUCUAUCUCCUCUCCUUCCUCCCCCACCUGCCACCCGGGGUGCAGGGCAGGGGAAGCUAGCACUUAUCAAGACAAAGAACAAAAGUCGUGGGGGCAAGAAGCCAAGAGCCAUCUCUAUUCUGGGGUCCCCAACUGCUGACCAAACUCCAGUCCAGGCAGCCACCUGGCCUGAGACUGGCCUGGCUUUGCCUUUUCCUUUGGCGAGACCCAAGGGAAGGAGCCCUAGGCAGCUGGGACCUACUAGGCCAUCCUGAAGCCCCCAGCUCACUACCAAGGAAUCUCUGUUCCUAUCUGAGAGAACCACCUCUGUCUGAAGCUGGAAUCUGAUUCUUGUUGGUGUCAACAACUGAAACCAGGCAGGAGGUAGCUUCAUAUUUCUGUUCUCUGAAGUAGGACGUGACUGUGACACUUGCCAGCGAGAUGUGAGCAGAAGAAACAAGUAGUGCCGGCCCCAGUCCGAAGCUUUGAGACUAGUCGGCUUCAACAGGAGACAAUGAGCCCAGAAGCCACUGGCUCAGGACGGCUUUGAUGACUGUGAUCAUCCAGUACUCUAGAUCCCUGGGUUAAGCUUACUAAGAGCCAAGAAAAGUUCCAUUGCUCUCAAAGAACCCACAUCAAAAGGACACUAUCAACAGAGUGGAAAGGCAACCCACCAUAAAUCAUUGAGCCGCUGGUAAGAAUACAACAGCCCGACAUCAGAAAACAGACACCUUCACCCGAGGACUUGAACAGACACUUCAGAGAAAUGAUCCAGUGACCAGUGCAACCAUGGAAAGACUAGCAUCACUGGGCACUGGAGAAAAGCAAAACAAAAGCCACCAAAAGUAGCCGCGCGAUAGUGACAUAAGCCUUUAAUCCCAGCACUCAGGAGGCAGAGACAGGUGGAGCUCUGUGAGUUUGAGGCCAGCCUGGUCUACAGAGUGAGUUCCAGGACAGGCCCCAAAGUUAUAGAGAAAUCCUUUCUCCAAAAACAAUAAAAUAAAAACAAAAAUGAACCAAAAACUCCCACCAACAGUAAGAAAGUCAGGUGUACUGGUGCAAGCCUACAAUCCCAGAACUCAUAGGCAGAGGCAGGAGGAUCUCAAGUUACUACCAGCCUGGAUUACAUACCCAUACUCUGCCUCAAAACCCGACCCAAGCCAGGCAUAGGUGGCGCACACCUUUAAUCCCAGCAAUCAGGAGGCAGAGGCCAGGGAUCUCUAUGAGUUUGAGGCCAGCUUAGUCUACAUAGUGAGUUCCGGCCUACCUGGCUUGUGAGGUGUUAGAGACAUGGAAAUCCCUGUGCUCUACUGUUGAGAAUAUAAACUAGUGUAGCCUCUGUGGGAAGCAGUGUGGCGUUAUUCAAACAUCUCUUAGAGUUUGGUCGUAAUCACUCCCCCUCCGACACACUUCCUGCCCCCACUCCUCUUCCUACUCACCCUUCCUGUCUUCUUAACUAGCCCCCCUUUCCGCUUUCAUACCGUGUGUGUGUGUGUGUGUGUGUGUGUGUGAGAUCCCCAGAGGUCAUGAGGGCCGUUUACAGAAGUGUGAGCACCUCACCAGGGUACACUAUCCUGAAGAAAAUGCCUCUCUGUCCUCCAUCAACCAGUUUGACUUCAAACAUGUCCUUACAGGGAAGUGAGACCUCCGAACUCUUCCUCUUGUUUGUCUUUCGAGACGGGGUCUCUAGCUCUCUGAGUAGGCAAGGAUAACCUCGGGCUCCCCAUUUCCCUGCUUCCAUCUCCUGACUUUACAAGUGGGUUCUACUGUUAUUAUUAUUUAUUUUGUGUGCAUUGGUGUUUGUGUGAGGUGUCGGGUCUCGGAGUUACAGACAGUAGUUGACUGCCAUGUGGGUGCUGGGAAUUGAACUUGGGUCCUCUGGAAGGGUCAUCAGCACUCUUAAUCAGUGAUCCAUCUCUCCAGCUCCUACACCUACAAGUAGAUUUUUUUUUUUUGAGACAGGGUUUCUCUGUAGGUUUGAAGCCUAUCCUGGAACUAGCUCUUGUAGACCAGGCAGGCCUUGAACUCACAGAGAUCUGCCUGUCUCUGCUUCCUGAGUGCUGAAUGUGCCACACUGCCCAGCAUAAGUGGAUUCUUAUAUGGUAUGGGGGAUCAAGUCUAGGGCUUCAUGUAUGUUAGCUGAACUAGACGAGUGUGUGUGUGUGUGUGUGUGUGUAUUUUGUUUGUUUUUGUUUUUUGAAACAGGAUUUCUCUGUGUAACAUCCCAGGCUGUCCUGGAACUCAGGAACUCACUUUGUAGACCAGGCUGGCCUCAAACUCAGAGAUCCAUCUGCCUCUGUCUCCCAAGUGCUGGGAUUAGAGGUGUGCACCACUACCACCUGGCUUCAGACUCGUAUGUUAUUGAUUGAUUUUUAUUUUAAAUGGUCACCUGUAGCCCAGGCUAUCAUCAAACUGCCUAUAUAGAUGAGGAUGACUUUGAGUUUUGUGUGAUUAGGUUUCAAAGUUGCUCACUUGAGGAAUUGUAUUAUAGCCUUAAGGGAUGUGGGAAGAUCCAUCCCAUAUGUAGGUGGCACUUUCUGGUAGCAUCCUAGAAAAAAAGGGCAUGGCAGAAGAAAGAGCCUUUGCUAACUUGGCCCCUGGCUCUCUUAGCCUUCCUCUUGCCGAGUUAACUUUCCCUGUUGUUGAAGCUGAGCCCUCCACAGACCUUAGGAUCAGCAUUUCCGCACAUCCACGUGAUGAAGGAACCCUCCAGCGGUUGGCACUCAACUGGGACUGCUGAGGCUCCCAGCCUCAGGAACUGAGCAACUUCUGGAUCCUGCACCUCUUUAGUGUGAGACAGCCACUGUGGAAGCACCCCAACUGCUGACACACCCCACUUCUAGGACAAGGCACCUCCCAGAGCCUCAGCCUCUCGGGCGGUAUUAUUUCAGUGUCAACUGAUCUAAUCAAUUACACAUUUAUUUUCUCCUAUCAGCUCUGCUCUGCUGGAGAACCCUGACUCAUUAAUGAAUGCACUCCAGGUCCUCCUGCCACCAGCAAACAAGUACUUCCAUGUCCAAUCUCAUUCACCCUCAUCGAGAAUGUUUUAAACAUGGUUACCCAGCCUAGGAUAGUGUGCUGGUUGUUUUUCGUCCACUGGGCACAAACCUAGACAUGUCUGGGAAGAAGGAGUCUUAACUGAGAAAAUGCCUCUGUGAGAUUGGCUUGUAGAAAAAUUUAUGGGUAGUGCUUUGAUUAAGGAUUGAUGUGGGCAAGUCCAGCUCACUGUGAGUGGUACCAACCCUGAGCAGUUGCCUGAAUGGUAUAAGAAGAAGCAGUCUGAGCAAGCCAUGAGGAGUAAGCCAGUAAGCAGCACUCCUCCAUGGCCUCUGCUUUGGUUCCUGCCUCCAGGUUCCUGCCUUUGGUUCCUGCCCUGACUUCCCUCGGUGAUGGGGUGUGAUCUGUGAAUUAUAAGAUGAAAUAAACCCUUUCCU